rnacentral:rRNA from 1 species
GGUUAAGCGACUAAGCGUACACGGUGGAUGCCCUGGCAGUCAGAGGCGAUGAAGGACGUGCUAAUCUGCGAUAAGCGUCGGUAAGGUGAUAUGAACCGUUAUAACCGGCGAUUUCCGAAUGGGGAAACCCAGUGUGUUUCGACACACUAUCAUUAACUGAAUCCAUAGGUUAAUGAGGCGAACCGGGGGAACUGAAACAUCUAAGUACCCCGAGGAAAAGAAAUCAACCGAGAUUCCCCCAGUAGCGGCGAGCGAACGGGGAGCAGCCCAGAGCCUGAAUCAGUGUGUGUGUUAGUGGAAGCGUCUGGAAAGGCGCGCGAUACAGGGUGACAGCCCCGUACACAAAAAUGCACAUGCUGUGAGCUCGAUGAGUAGGGCGGGACACGUGGUAUCCUGUCUGAAUAUGGGGGGACCAUCCUCCAAGGCUAAAUACUCCUGACUGACCGAUAGUGAACCAGUACCGUGAGGGAAAGGCGAAAAGAACCCCGGCGAGGGGAGUGAAAAAGAACCUGAAACCGUGUACGUACAAGCAGUGGGAGCACGCUUCGGCGUGUGACUGCGUACCUUUUGUAUAAUGGGUCAGCGACUUAUAUUCUGUAGCAAGGUUAACCGAAUAGGGGAGCCGAAGGGAAACCGAGUCUUAACUGGGCGUUAAGUUGCAGGGUAUAGACCCGAAACCCGGUGAUCUAGCCAUGGGCAGGUUGAAGGUUGGGUAACACUAACUGGAGGACCGAACCGACUAAUGUUGAAAAAUUAGCGGAUGACUUGUGGCUGGGGGUGAAAGGCCAAUCAAACCGGGAGAUAGCUGGUUCUCCCCGAAAGCUAUUUAGGUAGCGCCUCGUGAAUUCAUCUCCGGGGGUAGAGCACUGUUUCGGCAAGGGGGUCAUCCCGACUUACCAACCCGAUGCAAACUGCGAAUACCGGAGAAUGUUAUCACGGGAGACACACGGCGGGUGCUAACGUCCGUCGUGAAGAGGGAAACAACCCAGACCGCCAGCUAAGGUCCCAAAGUCAUGGUUAAGUGGGAAACGAUGUGGGAAGGCCCAGACAGCCAGGAUGUUGGCUUAGAAGCAGCCAUCAUUUAAAGAAAGCGUAAUAGCUCACUGGUCGAGUCGGCCUGCGCGGAAG